rnacentral:rRNA from 1 species
GACAGAGGGUGCAAACGUUGUUCGGAUUCAUUGGGCGUAAAGGGUGCGUAGGCGGCGCGGUAAGUCGGGUGUGAAAUCUCGGAGCUUAACUCCGAAACUGCAUUCGAUACUGCCGUGCUUGAGGACUGGAGAGGAGACUGGAAUUUACGGUGUAGCGGUGAAAUGCGUAGAUAUCGUAAGGAAGACCAGUGGCGAAGGCGGGUCUCUGGACAGUUCCUGACGCUGAGGCGCGAAGGCCAGGGGAGCAAACGGG